UGUACUCGAAACAGUGCAUGAUAUCUGGAAUGUUUUAGUUUCGAAAUAAUUAGCAGCAAGCAUUCCACUACAUUUAAUCAGUACAACCACUUAAUAAAUCUUAUGUUGAAAGACCUACACUUGUACUUUCUAAACAUAGAGGGGUAGUAUUGUUAUGUCUUGCUUUAACAUUCCUGUUACAGUUCCCGUUUUUUGGCUUGUAACCUUGUUUUCCUUUCAUUUGUUUUUAAAUUUCAUCUCAUUCUAAACUGUUUUUCUUAAUUGAAUGUAUGGCUAGACAGUGUGAAGUCGUGUACGUAGCAGUCAGUGUAUUUGCUGUUUGUAUCUAGGAAGUUAUGUAUAAUCAUGUUUGUCAUCUUGCCAUCUGCCUUGUAAAGGGUGUUUUGGCCCAGUGAAGCUGAUUUUAGCUAGUAAACCCUCUCAGAAGGUUUCUUAAAGCUAAGCUUUCUUUGCCUCUCCUUUGGACUUUCCCACCACUGCUGCUGUCUUGCCAAAUAGAUCUUGCUGAAUGCCUCAUACUGAUAUUAAUGUAGUUGUUGAACCAUUGUCAUUCCAGCUAACUACUGGCUACUGUCUUGCACGAGUGACUUGUAUGGGACAUAAUGCAAAUACCAGAUAUAAUAAUGUAACUAGAUCAUGGUUUUGGCAUGUAAAAUUCCAUUAGUUAUGCAAAUUUUGCUAAGCAGGAACAGCGUUCUCCACAAACAUAGUGAAAGCUUAGCUUAAACCAGUAAACACAGCGCUUGGAAUCUGCCGAAUAACCGCAAGUAGAUAAUUAGGUAAGGACACUGCUGAGCAGACACAAAAACAAGCAUUAUGAAUUACACAGCUGAUAAUGUCGUCAGUACUAUGGUGCAUUUAUUCCUACAGCAUGAAGGCACUGAAUGAAUCCUUGAGCAAGCUAGAUAAAAUUUGAGGGUCUGUGAUGGAGCACAGAUUUGCACACUGCUGGCAAGCAACAAAAUACAAAAUUAAAGCUGUUCAUUGCAGUGCCCAAGACACACCUGUCUCGCACAACAUUCAAUACUCGGCUAAAUACUGCCCUUUGACUUGCACAUUGCCUUCUAGGAUCAGUGCAUAGAAUCAAAGGAAACUGCUUGCAUCUUUUGUGUUUUGUUUUUGUGUGUGCAUCAUGCAAGUCCUUUUGCUUUUAUUCAUUCUACUAGUUCGUAUGUGCUAUCCUCUUCUGUCUUGUGCUUUAUUAUGUUAGGUUUUUAUGUGCUAUUUUGCUUAUUGUUUUGUACCUGUAUUUCUGCUUUCUCUGCUCCCUGCUGCAAUGCCAAACUGGCUUUGUGGGUACCUAAAUAAAUAUACAAAGCUA
rnacentral:lncRNA from 1 species